rnacentral:rRNA from 1 species
AAGUUGAGGCGGAAACAGAGGGGAGUUUAAUCCUUUUUGACGCCGGGCGCACGGGGGCGUAAGGGGUAUACAUUUUACCUUGUACAGGGGAAUAGCCCAGAGAAAUUUGGAUUAAUGCCCCAUAGUAUUAUGAAAUGGCAUCGUUUUAUAAUUAAAGCUUCGGCGGUACAAGAUGAGUAUGCGUUCUAUUAGCUAGAUGGUAAGGUAAUGGCUUACCAUGGCUACGAUAGAUAGGGGUCCUGAGAGGGAGAUCCCCCACACUGGUACUGAGACACGGACCAGACUCCUACGGGAGGCAGCAGUGAGGAAUAUUGGACAAUGGUCGAAAGACUGAUCCAGCCAUGCCGCGUGCAGGAAGACUGCCCUAUGGGUUGUAAACUGCUUUUAUAUGGGAAGAAUAAGAUCUACGUGUAGAUCGAUGACGGUACCAUAAGAAUAAGCACCGGCUAGACUCCGUGCCGAGCUAGCCGCGGUAAUAAGGGCGA